rnacentral:rRNA from 1 species
GAUUAACGCUGGCGGCGUGCUUUAUACAUGCAAGUCGAACGCUCCCGCUUCGGCGGGAGAGUGGCAAACGGGUGAGUAACACGUGGGUAACCUACCCUGAAGUGUGGAAUAAUCCCGCGAAAGCGAGGCUAAUACCACAUAAUGUAAUAAAGUGAGAUUCUUUAUUACUAAAGAUUUAUCGCUUCAGGAGGGGCCUGCGUCUGAUUAGCUUGUUGGUGAGGUAAUGGCUCACCAAGGCUACGAUCAGUAGCUGGACUGAGAGGUCGGUCAGCCACACUGGGACUGAGACACGGCCCAGACUCCUACGGGAGGCAGCAGUAAGGAAUCUUCCGCAAUGGGCGCAAGCCUGACGGAGCGACGCCGCGUGCAGGACGAAGGUCUUCGGAUUGUAAACUGCUUUUCUGGGGGACGAUAAUUCGGACGGUACCUCAGGAAUAAGCAUCGGCUAACUACGUGCCAGCAGCCGCGGUAAUACGNNGGAUGCAAGCGUUAUCCGGGAUUUACUGGGUUUAAAGAGUGCGUAGGUGGUAAUUCAAGUCUAUGAUUAAAUAUCAAGGCUUAACCUUGAAAAANUUAUAGAUACUGUAUUACUAGAGAACAGACGGGGGAAACGGAAUUCCCCGGUGUAGGGAGUAAAAUCCGUUGAUAUCGGGAGGAACACCAGUGGCGAAGGCGGUUUCCUAGACUGUUUCUGACACUAAGGCACGAAAGCUAGGGGAGCAAAACGGAUUANNNANCCGUGUAGUCCUAGCCGUAAACGAUGGAUGUUAGACGUUAGAGGUAUCGACCCCUCUAGUGUCGCAGCAAAAGCAUUAAACAUCCCACCUGGGGAGUACGGCCGCAAGGUUAAAACUCAAAGGAAUUGACGGGGACCCGCACAAGCAGCGGAGCGUGUGGCUUAAUACGAUGAUACGCGUAGAACCUUACCAGGGCUUGACAUCCGGUUAAACUCCGCGAAAGCGGAACUGUUCUUUUUUAGAACGAACCGAGACAGGUGUUGCAUGGCUGUCGUCAGCUCGUGCCGUGAGGUGUAGAGUUAAGUCUCGUAACGAGCGCAACCCUUAUUGCAUGUUAAAUUUUUCAUGCGAGACUGCCAAGGAUAACUUGGAGGAAGGAGAGGAUGACGUCAAGUCAGUACGGCCCUUAUGUCCUGGGCGGCACACACGCUACAAUGGGCGGUACAAUGAGUCUUGCUAAACCGCGAGGUGGUGCUAAUCUCAUCAAAACCGUUCUCAGUUCGGAUUGAAGGCUGCAACUCGCCUUCAUGAAGCUGGAGUUGCUAGUAACCGCCGGUCAGCCAUACGGCGGUGAAUAUGUUCCCGGGUCUUGUACACACCGCCCGUCACACCACGAAAGUUGGAAACACCCGAAGUCGCUGUGUCGACUCUUCGAGAGACAAGCGCCGAAGGUGGGGCUAAUGAUUGGGGUG